rnacentral:rRNA from 1 species
UACGUAGGUGGCAAGCGUUAUCCGGAUUUACUGGGCGUAAAGGGCGUGUAGGCGGUCUCAUAAGUCAGAUGUGAAAUUCCCGGGCUUAACCCGGGCGCUGCAUCUGAAACUAUGGGACUUGAGUACUGGAGAGGAUAGUGGAAUUCCUAGUGUAGCGGUAAAAUGCGUAGAUAUUAGGAGGAACACCGGUGGCGAAGGCGACUAUCUGGACAGUAACUGACGCUGAGGCGCGAAAGCGUGGGGAGCAAACAGG